CAAAGAGGCAGCUAGCUCCAUCACGGGGUCCACAAGCUGACGUACUGCCUUUGCGCAUGUCAGCCAUCACGGUAGGCACGGCAUCUCUGUGAUGUUCAUGCAGGACCUCUGUGAGCACAGCGGUACCUGCUCCCACCACACCCUCACAAGAUCGCUGCCCUCCUCACCCCACCCCCACCCCGAACGCCACAGAAAAAGAGUGGUAACCUGGGCUCUCUCGGCCACCUUGGCUUGCUUCCCAGUUUCUGUCUUUAGGAUCCUCGACCCAGGUUUCUCUUCCUGGUUGACGGGCAGAUGUCUCAAAUAGAUUACCUCCUCUGGUCUGAGCCGCCAAAACCACAAGAUGCAGCUGCCACCCCAACCUGUGCACUUUGGAGCUAAUUUCUACCAGGGCCUUCUCUCUGGGAGGAGCUGGAAUGUAUGCACAGAUAGGAUGCCUUUGAUAAGAGUCUACAUUUGGGACCAGCCACCCGCCCCCACUCCGGAUUUACUUGACGCGCUAAAAACAUUCCCUUUGUGGGACGUGAUGCCAUUUCUACAACCAUCUGUCUUCACCUGACACAGGAAGUUGGGGCCUGCAUGGUUAACACCGGCUGUUUUUCUUCUCCUGCUCUACAUUCUUUUAAAGGGCCCUCUUUGCCCUCUCCUGCCAUUUCUUCACUUAGUGACCAGGAGCUCCCGCAGAACUCUUCCUGUGUCUCACCCUCACUCCCAUCCCUAUCCCAGAGGCAGCUACUCUCUUCGAAACAGACGGAACAUUUUCUCAGGGUUUGAACUUUAUUUUCUUGGCUAACAACAUAUUCCUCGAACAGUUCUGAUAAGAUUAAAUUCACAACCCGAGGAACUUGCCAUUCCAGUUUGAAAUCAGAGCAGAGAAGUAGCUUGUUGAAGGCCAGGC
rnacentral:lncRNA from 1 species